rnacentral:rRNA from 1 species
CCUACGGGAGGCAGCAGUGGGGAAUCUUGCGCAAUGGGCGAAAGCCUGACGCAGCGACGCCGCAUGAGGGAUGAAGGUCUUCGGAUCGUAAACCUCUGUCAGCAGGGAAGAACGGUCACUGUGCUAAUCAGCAGUGCAUUGACGGUACCUGCCAAGGAAGCACCGGCUAACUCCGUGCCAGCAGCCGCGGUAAUACGGAGGGUGCGAGCGUUAAUCGGAAUUACUGGGCGUAAAGCGCUCGUAGGCGGUAGGUCAGGUCAAGGGUGAAAUCCCCGCGCUCAACGUGGGAAGUGCCUUUGAAACUGGCAAACUGGAGUGCGGGAGGGGCAAGCGGAAUUCCUGGUGUAGCGGUGGAAUGCGUAGAUAUAAGGAGGAACACCGGCGGCGAAGGCGGCCGGCUGGACCGCGACUGACGUUGAGGCUCGAAAGCGUGGGGAGCGAACAGGAUUAGAUACCCUAGUAGUC